AUACUCUAGUUUCUCUUCAAAAUGAAUAAAUCUUUCGCCUUUCACUAAAGAUUUCCAUGGAGAGGGUCAGUUAUGAGUUGGUUGCCAAAUUUUUUGAGGUCUUGCUUAGGCAAGGCU
rnacentral:snRNA from 1 species